AUGGUGGCACAAAAUCGGAAGCCCCGACUGUUUACUAAAAACACAGCUGUCUGCGAUUAUGAAAAUAAUAGUAUAGAUAGCGAGAUUUGCCCAAUGCCAUAUGAAUAAGUAAUAUAAUGGGUAACUGUUUCUUUACAAAAAGGUGGUUAAUAGCGGUCUUAACUAUGAGGAUCCUAAGGUAGCAAAAUAAAUUGGCCAUUAAAUGUGGUCCAGUAUCAAUAAUUUAACGAUGGCUUCACUGUCUCUACAACUUGCUCAGUGAAAUUGAAUUACCCGUGCAGAUG
rnacentral:rRNA from 1 species